GCCGGUGUGGUGGAAUUGGUAGACACAGGGGACUUAAAAUCCCCCGGCAGCGAUGCUAUACCGGUUCGAGUCCGGUCACCGGCA
rnacentral:tRNA from 1 species